rnacentral:rRNA from 1 species
AACGAACGCUGGCGGCAUGCCUAACACAUGCAAGUCGAACGAGACCUUCGGGUCUAGUGGCGCACGGUUGCGUAACGCGUGGGAACCUGCCCUUAGGUUCGGAAUAACUCCCCGAAAGGGGUGCUAAUACCGGAUAAUGUCUUCGGACCAAAGAUUUAUCGCCUUUGGAUGGGCCCGCGUUGGAUUAGCUAGUUGGUAGGGUAAAAGCCUACCAAGGCGACGAUCCAUAGCUGGUCUGAGAGGAUGAUCAGCGACACUGGGAAUGAGACACGGCCCAGAAUCCUACGCGAGGGGGCAGUGGGGAAUAUUGGACAAGGGGCGAAAGCAUGAUCCAGCAAUGACGGGUGAGUGAUGAAGGCCGUAGGGAAGUAAAGCUCUUUUACCCGGGGUGAUAAUGACAGUACCGGGAGAAUAAGCUCCGGCUAACUACGUG